rnacentral:rRNA from 1 species
UACGUAGGGCGCAAGCGUUUGUCCGGAAUUAUUGGGCGUAAAGAGCUCGUAGGCGGCUUGUCACGUCGGGUGUGAAAGCCCCGGGGCUUAACCCCGGGUCUGCAUUCGAUACGGGCAGGCUAGAGUGUGGUAGGGGAGAUCGGAAUUCCUGGUGUAGCGGUGAAAAUGCGUAGAUAUCAGGAGGAACACCGGUGGCGAAGGCAGUGGUCUGGGCCGAUACUGACGCUGAGGAGCGAAAGCGUGGGGGAGCGAACAGG